UACGGAGGAUGCGAGCGUUAUCCGGAUUUACUGGGCGUAAAGGGAGCGCAGGCGGCGCGCCAAGUCUGAUGUGAAACCCCGGGGCUCAACCCCGGGCAUGCAUUGGAAACUGGCGGGCUGGAGUGCCGGAGAGGUAAGCGGAAUUCCUAGUGUAGCGGUGAAAUGCGUAGAUAUUAGGAGGAACACCAGUGGCGAAGGCGGCUUACUGGACGGCAACUGACGCUGAGGCUCGAAAGCGUGGGGAGCAAACAGG
rnacentral:rRNA from 1 species